CAUUAUUGCUCUAAUCUGAUAGUGGUAGUGGGGUAAUAGAUGUCUAGUCUCCCUUAUGGCUCUAAUCUGAUAGUGGGGUGGUAGAUGUCUAGCCUCCUUUAUGGCUCUAAUCUGAGAGGGGUAUUGGGGUGAUAGAUGUCUAGUCUCCUUUAUGGCUCUAAUCUGAUAGUGGUAGUGGGGUGGUAGAUAGUUGUAGUGGGGUGGUAGAUGUCUCCUUUAUGGCUCUAAUCUGAUAGUGGUAGAUGUCUAGUCUCCUUUAUGGCUCUGGUAGUGGGGUGGUAAAUGUCUAGUCUCCUUUAUGGCUCUAAUCUGAUAGUGGUAGAUGUCUAGUCUCCUUUAUGGCUCUAAUCUGAUAGUGGUAGAUGUCUAGUCUCCUUUAUGGCUAUAAUCUGAUAGUGGUAGAUGUCUAGUCUCCUUUAUGGCUCUAAUCUGAUAGUGGUAGAUGUCUAGUCUCCUUUAUGGCUCUAAUCUGAUAGUGGUAGAUGUCUAGUCUCCUUUAUGGCUCUGGUAGUGGGGUGGUAAAUGUCUAGUCUCCUUUAUGAUUCUAAUCUGAUGGUGGUAGUGAGGUGGUAGAUGUCUAGUCUCCC
rnacentral:lncRNA from 13 species